CCAAUUUAUAUAUAUGUUAGUUUGUAUACCGCUGUCAAAGGGGGUUAUACACAACUACUAUGUAAACGUUGAACUAGAUCAAUUGGUGUGGAUUGCUUGGGAAUGGACGAAGCGAUGAGCCUCUUCCGGACAGGCAAGCCCCACACUGAUAACCUUUUUCAUAUCAUUUACUCGUAUAUACUACCACAACAACAAAAACAAAAGCUAUAAUAGGACUUAUUAAUGGCUGAGUGGGUAACAUCCUCGGCUUAAACAUAUAACUAUUA
rnacentral:misc_RNA from 1 species